rfam:Streptococcus equi subsp. zooepidemicus H70, complete genome
UACUCUAUCCAUUUGGAGUAAUCCUACUACAGCCUGCUUGACUGGUAACGGUUAUGUUGGGAAGCCUGUGGGACAAUAUGGAAAGUCUGAUAGCCUAAAUCAGAUGGACUG